rnacentral:rRNA from 1 species
UGGGGAAUAUUGCACAAUGGGCGCAAGCCUGAUGCAGCCAUGCCGCGUGUAUGAAGAAGGCCUUCGGGUUGUAAAGUACUUUCAGCGGGGAGGAAGGUGUUGUGGUUAAUAACCACAGCAAUUGACGUUACCCGCAGAAGAAGCACCGGCUAACUCCGUGCCAGCAGCCGCGGUAAUACGGAGGGUGCAAGCGUUAAUCGGAAUUACUGGGCGUAAAGCGCACGCAGGCGGUCUGUCAAGUCGGAUGUGAAAUCCCCGGGCUCAACCUGGGAACUGCAUCCGAAACUGGCAGGCUUGAGUCUUGUAGAGGGGGGUAGAAUUCCAGGUGUAGCGGUAAAAUGCGUAGAGAUCUGGAGGAAUACCGGUGGCGAAGGCGGCCCCCUGGACAAAGACUGACGCUCAGGUGCGAAAGCGUGGGGAGCAAACA